GACGAACGCUGGCGGCGUGCUUAACACAUGCAAGUCGAACGGAAAGGCCCUGCUUUUGUGGGGUGCUCGAGUGGCGAACGGGUGAGUAACACGUGAGUAACCUGCCCUUGACUUUGGGAUGACUUCAGGAAACUGGGGCUAAUACCGGAUAGGAGCUCCUGCUGCAUGGUGGGGGUUGGAAAGUUUCGGCGGUUGGGGAUGGACUCGCGGCUUAUCAGCUUGUUGGUGGGGUAGUGGCUUACCAAGGCUUUGACGGGUAGCCGGCCUGAGAGGGUGACCGGCCACAUUGGGACUGAGAUACGGACCAGACUCCUACGGGAGGCAGCAGUGGGGAAUAUUGCACAAUGGGCGGAAGCCUGAUGCAGCAACGCCGCGUGCGGGAUGACGGCCUUCGGGUUGUAAACCGCUUUCGCCUGUGACGAAGCGUGAGUGACGGUAAUGGGUAAAGAAGCACCGGCUAACUACGUG
rnacentral:rRNA from 1 species